rnacentral:tRNA from 1 species
UUGGGUAAAUAGCUCAGUGGUAGAGCACUUGCCCAGCAUGAAUGAGACCCUGGGUUUAAUCCCCAGUACUGAAA